AUUGAACGCUGGCGGCAUGCUUUACACAUGCAAGUCGAACGGCAGCGCGGGCUUCGGCCUGGCGGCGAGUGGCGAACGGGUGAGUAAUACAUCAGAACGUGCCCAGUAGUGGGGGAUAGCUCGGCGAAAGCCGGAUUAAUACCGCAUACGACCUGAGGGUGAAAGCGGGGGAUCUUCGGACCUCGCGCUAUUGGAGCGGCCGAUGGCAGAUUAGCUAGUUGGUGGGGUAAAGGCCUACCAAGGCGACGAUCUGUAGCUGGUCUGAGAGGACGACCAGCCACACUGGGACUGAGACACGGCCCAGACUCCUACGGGAGGCAGCAGUGGGGAAUUUUGGACAAUGGGCGAAAGCCUGAUCCAGCAAUGCCGCGUGUGUGAUGAAGGCCUUCGGGUUGUAAAGCACUUUUGGCGGGAACGAAAAGGACUGUGCCAAUACCACGGUUCGAUGACGGUACCCGCAGAAUAAGCACCGGCUAACUACGUG
rnacentral:rRNA from 1 species